CCAGUUAACCGCUUAAAUUUCUGG
rnacentral:siRNA from 1 species